AUCGAACGCUGGCGGCAGGCCUAACACAUGCAAGUCGAGCGGAUGAAGGGAGCUUGCUCCUGGAUUCAGCGGCGGACGGGUGAGUAACGCCUAGGAAUCUGCCUGGUAGUGGGGGAUAACGUCCGGAAACGGGCGCUAAUACCGCAUACGUCCUGAGGGAGAAAGUGGGGGAUCUUCGGACCUCACGCUAUCAGAUGAGCCUAGGUCGGAUUAGCUAGUUGGGGGGGUAAAGGCCUACCAAGGCGACGAUCCGUAACUGGUCUGAGAGGAUGAUCAGUCACACUGGAACUGAGACACGGUCCAGACUCCUACGGGAGGCAGCAGUGGGGAAUAUUGGACAAUGGGCGAAAGCCUGAUCCAGCCAUGCCGCGUGUGUGAAGAAGGUCUUCGGAUUGUAAAGCACUUUAAGUUGGGAGGAAGGGCAGUAAGUUAAUACCUUGCUGUUUUGACGUUACCAACAGAAUAAGCACCGGCUAACUUCGUG
rnacentral:rRNA from 1 species